rnacentral:rRNA from 1 species
GUUUUGAUCCUGGCUCAGAGCGAACGUUAGCGGCAGGCUUAACACAUGCAAGUCGAGCGACAAAAGGGGCUUCGGCCCCUGAGUAGAGCGGCGGACGGGUGCGUAACACGUGGAUAAUCUGCCUCGUGGCGGGGGAUAACAGUCCGAAAGGACUGCUAAUACCGCAUGUCAGGUCGGAAACCCCUGGUUUCUGACGAAAAAGAGGGCGCCCGCAAGGGGCUCUCACCACGAGAUGAGUCCGCGGCCCAUCAGCUAGUUGGCGGUGUAAUAGACCACCAAGGCUAAGACGGGUAGCUGGUCUGAGAGGAUGACCAGCCACACUGGGACUGAGACACGGCCCAGACUCCUACGGGAGGCAGCAGUGGGGGAAUAUUGGACAAUGGGCGAAAGCCUGAUCCAGCCAUGCCGCGUGAGUGAUGAAGGUCUUCGGAUACGUAAAGCUCUGUGGGAGGGACGAAAAGCCUAACCUAAUACGUUAGGUC